rnacentral:lncRNA from 1 species
AUGCUGCUCGAAGUGCUUGACCACGAUCCCGCCGCCCCGGCGCGGUCGUGCCCCCGCCGCUGCAUGUGCGGGCUUCGGGGGGAGGUGGCGAAAAGGGGAAGAGACCCGGCGUCGUCGCCGGGCCCCACCCUCUCCGUGUGGGCGGUUGGGGCCCCGGGUGCCCGGUUCCCCGCCUUCGGUCGUCAGGGUCCCGGCUUCCCAUGGGGGAGGAAAGGGUCGGUGAUUCCCUCGGCCGGAGCGGCGGGGCGGGAGCUUAAGGCGGCGGUGCCUCUCCUCCCCUUUGCCCCCUUCCUCCGCUCCGCCUCAGCCCGCGGUCGGGUGUCUUUUAGGUUCUCCGGGUCCGUGCUCGCCGACGCGGCCGAACCGCCUCGUCCCCACCGGUGGGGCGGGGUCGGCGGUGCCGAGGCCCCUGCCCCGGCGGCUCGAGAGGGGUCCCCUCGACGUGUGGGCCAGCGAGGGCCCCGGCGGUCAGGCGCCGGGGUCGGUCCCGCUCGCUCGAGUGAGCGUCUUCCCUCCGAGAUGGGGAAUUGGGGUUGGCGUGACCGGCCGGGUGUGCCUUGGUCGCUCGUCCCGACCGCCCCGAGAGGCCUUUCCGCCCCCAUCCUGUCCCGGGUACCUAGCGCGUUCUGGCGCGGAGGUUUAAAGAUUCGGGGGUUGCCCUCCGCUCUCCAGCGGGGUCUUGGGACGGCCGCCCCCUGGGUUUGCCGGACGGGCCAGUGGGAAGAGGAGAUGCCUGGCUCCGACUUCUCCCGUUCUCCGGUGUGGUGCUGGGUUCGGGUCCUGGUCGUGGGGGACCGCCCGCCCGCCCUCGGUGAGGUGUGCUCCGCGUGGAGGCCGCACGCCGAGGGCCGGUGCCGCGACGAGGCUGGGUCGUCGCUCCUCCCCCUCUGGUCGGGUUGCCGGUGGCCGGGUUGCCCGCGUGCCCCCCUCCGUGGGGUCGCCGCCGUUGGGUUUGUCGGUGGCUGCCGUCCCCCGCGUCGGCCCGUCCCGCUUGCCGCCUCGGGGAAACGGUCGUUCCUCCGAGCCCCCCCACUGCUGUGUCGUGUCUCGUUUUUACCUUCCGUUUACGCGUUGUGGGGGUUGCUUUGGGGUGUUGGGGGGGGGCCACGCGCCUCUCCCCCCCCCUCCCUCCCGCGUAUCCCAAAAAAACCUAAAUUCGGACAACUCUUAGCGGUGGAUCACUCGGCUCGUGCGUCGAUGAAGAACGCAG